rnacentral:rRNA from 1 species
CCCUUAGAUGUUCUGGGCCGCACGCGUGCUACACUGAGUGGAUCAGCGGGUCAGGUUGCGCGAAAGUGUUUCCUAAUCUUUAAAUCCGCUCGUGAUGGGGAUUGACGGUUGCAAUUUUCCGUCAUGAACGAGGAAUACCUUGUAAGCGCGGGUCAUCAUCCCGCGCUGAAUACGUCCCUGCCCUUUGUACACACCGCCCGUCGCUCCUACCGAUUGAGUGGUUUAGUGAGGACUCCUGAUUGGCGCCGCCGCCCCGGCAACGGAGCAGCGGACUGCCGAAAAGUUGUUCAAACUUGAUCAUUUAGAGGAAGUAAAAGUCGUAACA